UACGGGGGGGGUAAGCGUUGUUCGGAAUUACUGGGCGUAAAGGGCUCGUAGGUGGCCAACUAAGUCAGACGUGAAAUCCCUCGGCUUAACCGGGGAACUGCGUCUGAUACUGGAUGGCUUGAGUUUGGGAGAGGGACGCGGAAUUCCAGGUGUAGCGGUGAAAUGCGUAGAUAUCUGGAGGAACACCGGUGGCGAAGGCGGCGUCCUGGACCAACACUGACACUGAUGAGCGAAAGCCAGGGGAGCAAACGGG
rnacentral:rRNA from 1 species